rnacentral:rRNA from 1 species
UUGACUUUAGUACGGCGAGUGAAGCGGCAAAAGCUCAAAUUUGAAAUCUGGUACCUUCGGUGCCCGAGUUGUAAUUUGGAGAGGGCAACUUUGGGGCCGUUCCUUGUCUAUGUUCCUUGGAACAGGACGUCAUAGAGGGUGAGAAUCCCGUGUGGCGAGGAGUGCGGUUCUUUGUAAAGUGCCUUCGAAGAGUCGAGUUGUUUGGGAAUGCAGCUCUAAGUGGGUGGUAAAUUCCAUCUAAAGCUAAAUAUUGGCGAGAGACCGAUAGCGAACAAGUACAGUGAUGGAAAGAUGAAAAGAACUUUGAAAAGAGAGUGAAAAAGUACGUGAAAUUGUUGAAAGGGAAGGGCAUUUGAUCAGACAUGGUGUUUUGUGCCCUCUGCUCCUUGUGGGUAGGGGAAUCUCGCAUUUCACUGGGCCAGCAUCAGUUUUGGUGGCAGGAUAAAUCCAUAGGAAUGUAGCUUGCCUCGGUAAGUAUUAUAGCCUGUGGGAAUACUGCCAGCUGGGACUGAGGACUGCGACGUAAGUCAAGGAUGCUGGCAUAAUGGUUAUAUGCCGCCCGUCUUGAACAACCGAACACAA